rnacentral:snRNA from 1 species
AGUUAGCAGAUAACGUAUUAUCA